rnacentral:siRNA from 1 species
AAGGUUAUAUGUGUCUUACAGCAC